rnacentral:rRNA from 1 species
UUUUUCAUACAACCCAUAUAAGACUGGCGGCAUUUCAUCUUAUUAGAGGAACAUGUAAUUUAAUCGAUAAUACACGAUUACUUUCACUUAAUUUAAAAUUUUAUAUACCUCCGUCCUCAAUUUAAUAUUAAUAUAUCUUUAAAAUAAUAUUCUAAAAAGUCAGGUAAAGGUGUAAACCAAAAUUAAGGCUUAAAUGUGUUACUUUAAAAAUAAUUUAAGAACUUCAAGCCAAAACUACCACGAAAAAGGAUUUAAAAGUAAUAUUAAUAUAAAAUAUUUAUUUGAAUAAGAAAAUAAAUGUGC